rnacentral:rRNA from 1 species
AGCUCAGAUUGAACGCUGGCGGCAGGCCUAACACAUGCAAGUCGAGCGGAUGAAGGGAGCUUGCUCCUGGAUUCAGCGGCGGACGGGUGAGUAAUGCCUAGGAAUCUGCCUGGUAGUGGGGGAUAACGUCCGGAAACGGGCGCUAAUACCGCAUACGUCCUGAGGGAGAAAGUGGGGGAUCUUCGGACCUCACGCUAUCAGAUGAGCCUAGGUCGGAUUAGCUAGUUGGUGGGGUAAAGGCCUACCAAGGCGACGAUCCGUAACUGGUCUGAGAGGAUGAUCAGUCACACUGGAACUGAGACACGGUCCAGACUCCUACGGGAGGCAGCAGUGGGGAAUAUUGGACAAUGGGCGAAAGCCUGAUCCAGCCAUGCCGCGUGUGUGAAGAAGGUCUUCGGAUUGUAAAGCACUUUAAGUUGGGAGGAAGGGCAGUAAGUUAAUACCUUGCUGUUUUGACGUUACCAACAGAAUAAGCACCGGCUAACUUCGUGCCAGCAGCCGCGGUAAUACGAAGGGUGCAAGCGUUAAUCGGAAUUACUGGGCGUAAAGCGCGCGUAGGUGGUUCAGCAAGUUGGAUGUGAAAUCCCCGGGCUCAACCUGGGAACUGCAUCCAAAACUACUGAGCUAGAGUACGGUAGAGGGUGGUGGAAUUUCCUGUGUAGCGGUGAAAUGCGUAGAUAUAGGAAGGAACACCAGUGGCG